GGCAUAUGCUUCGGCUGUCAGUUACUUUUCAUUUUUCACCAAUUUUGCCCCUUCCGCAUACUCCAUGCAUGCAUGAGGAUUGGGAAAGUGGUUGUCUGAUUUGCACAUUCCGAUGAUGGAUUCACAUGAUAUAGGCUAGUUUUUGGCCUCCAAAGUUUUUGCUGUUGUCCUUCAACAAAAAGAAAAAAAAAAUGUUUUAUUGUCGCAGAUAUUUAAUUACAAGAUUUACCUAAUUACGCAUUUGUUAUUUAUACAUGCGAACAAACUCAUUCUUACGCGCGUGUCGAUACUAACUAUGUGCCAUGCCUACUCGAC